UACAUAUUUGAUUCAUUUUGACAGGAUUAGGUGCAUUAACCUUAUGGUGCAGUUGGAAAAUACAUGCUGAAGAAUACCAUAAAAGUAUGAAGGACACGGACCUGAACUCUCCAAGUGGUUUUGUAUGGUUUGAUGUCAUCGAGGUAAGCAAUUGCUUGAGCCAUUUGUGAUAUCUAAAUAAGAAGGAUGCUAAGGUUAGAGGAAUUUGAGUGAUGGAUUGGAAAUGAGAAUGACGUUGAUAUUUAUAGCAUUCUAGGAUGCUAGGGUUUUUGGCUCCAAUAAUUUUAAAAUCUAGGAGAAUAUCUUGGAGACAAAGCAUAAAAUCAAAGAUACUAUUAACAAAAUAUAUUCGAAUUUGGAAUAGAAUUGAAUGAUUGGCUAUAUUUAGAUAAAUGAUGAAUAUUGUAGAGUUGGUUAUGGUUAGGAUUAUAUUUAUGAGAGAUAGUAAUUACGAUUU